rnacentral:rRNA from 1 species
UGCCACAGCCAUAUCACCCUGCAGCCCAAGACCGGUUACUCACUGAAGCUAAGCAGAGCUGAGCCUGGUUAGUACCUGGAUGGGAGACCACUAGGGAACACUAGGUUGCUGCUGGAA